AUUGAACGCUGGCGGCAUGCUUUACACAUGCAAGUCGAACGAGUGGCGAACGGGGGAGUAAUAUAUCGGAACGUACCGAGUAAUGGGGGAUAACCAAUCGAAAGAUUGGCUAAUACCGCAUAUUAUACGAGCGGCCGAUAACUUAUUAGCUGGUUGGUGGGGUAAAGGCCUACAAAGGCGACGCUCAGUAGAUGGGCUGAGAGGACGAUCCGCCACACGGGGACUGAGACACGUCCCAGACUCCGAAGGGAGGCAGCAGUGGGGAAGUUUGGACAAUGGGGGCAACCCUGAUCCAGCCAUGCCGCGUGUAUGAAGAAGGCCUUCGGGUUGUAAAGUACUUUUGUGAGGGAAGCGGUACCUAAAGAAUAAGCACCGGCUAACUACGUGCCAGCAGCCGCGGUAAUUC
rnacentral:rRNA from 1 species